rnacentral:rRNA from 1 species
UACAGAGGGGGCAAGCGUUGUUCGGAAUUACUGGGCGUAAAGGGCGCGUAGGCGGCCUUCUAAGUCGGACGGGAAAUCCCUGGGCUCAACCCAGGAACUGCGUCCGAUACUGGAAGGCUUGAAUCCGGGAGAGGGAUGCGGAAUUCCAGGUGUAGCGGUGAAAUGCGUAGAUAUCUGGAGGAACACCGGUGGCGAAGGCGGCAUCCUGGACCGGUAUUGACGCUGAGGCGCGAAAGCCAGGGGAGCAAACGGG